AUACCCAUUGGUGUUCCAAAAGUACCUUACCGGAUUCCCGGAGAUGAAGAAGCGACUUGGGUUGACUUAUACAAUGUUAUGUAUCGAGAAAGGACACUUUUUUUUAGUUCACUGCCCUAUACAUAG
rnacentral:rRNA from 1 species